rnacentral:rRNA from 1 species
UACGGAGGAUUCAAGCGUUAUCCGGAUUUAUUGGGUUUAAAGGGUGCGUAGGUUGUUUUUUAAGUCAGCGGUGAAAGUUUGUGGCUCAACCAUAAAAUUGCCGUUGAAACUGGAAGACUUGAGUGUGUUUGAGGUAGGCGGAAUGCGUGGUGUAGCGGUGAAAUGCUUAGAGAUCAUACAGAACACCGAUUGCGAAGGCAGCUUACCAAGCUACUUCUGACGUUGAGGCACGAAAGCGUGGGGAGCAAAAAGG